UCAUGUUUUUAUUUUUUUGCAUGAAACUUAUACAUAUUUUAUUUGAAAAAAAUCUAAAGCAAAUAUGAACUGCACUCUGGAGAAAAUUAUUCGCUUGAACUCAUUGUACUUAGGUUCGAUACUUGGUCGUUUUUAGAGAAGGAAGUAUACUUUAUUAUAUAGACUUCAAAGACAUUUUCUUAGUUAAACGGAGUAAGCGGUCAAUUUGACCACCAUUAUUGUUUAAUAUCCUAAGAAAUUUCUGCGCUUCUAUUGUUAAGGUCUCAUAUCUUUUUCAAUGAAGAUAAGGGCAAAAGCUAGGUUACCACAUCCUUCGUGUAUGUAUACGUUUAAGUGUAUAUAUACAUAUAUAUAAAUGCCAUUUCUCGGAGCUAGUAAUCUACCGAUAUCAUAUGCAUGUAUAUAAAUUUCCUGAAAUGAAGGUCAAUUUACGUUCAUUUACAUAGUCAGGUAAAAAAAUUGUGUGUAAUUUGAUUAUUAAAAAUUUCAUUGCAGGUAAUUAAGAAUUUGAUUAGAAUUCAAUUUAAUUAUAGUCUGGAUUUUCACUUAAAUUUAUAUUGUAUUCGGACAUUCAAACUAUUUUAUUAUAAGAAAUUGUCACGAGAGACCACAUUUUGUUUUGCAAAAUAUACAUCGGCCAACAGGUUCUACAGGUAGACACCUUGUACCUAGGGGAGAUCAAAACCUAUUCCCGUCGCUAUCUUCAGUAUCAAGAGGCCCUUUUGAUACAUUCAAAUGCACUCCGGCACAAACGUUAUGUAUAUGGACCGCUUGUCCACAAGGUGGGGCAUUACCCACCGCCACUGCUCCCUUGACUAUCAAGGAUUCCUUAUAAUAUUUUAUGAUACACCUCGGCCCAAGGGUUGUGCAUGUGAACUGCUGGUUCAAAACCAAGGCAGCUGCUUCCCUGAGCAUCAACGACCCCUUUUAAAAUCCUAUAAUACAUCUUGGCCCACGGGCUCUACAAAUAAACCGCAUGUCUAAACGGUGUGUCAUUUUGAAAUAAUUACCUUUUAUAUAAAGAAUAUUUUUAGAUACGUUUUUGUUUAUGUCUAUUUUGAAGAAAUGAAUAAUAUUUAAAUGAAACAUAAAACCUUGUAGUUCGAAUAUUCUUAAAUAGGAUCAACGAUUGUAAUGUAAGUUAUUAUUAGAUCAUUACUUGUUGCUGUAGUCAUCCUGAUAUACUUUUUAUCAUGUUCAUUAUAAUUGUUCAUCUGUUUUGUACAUUUUAGUAUUAAAAAACACCUGAACACUCCGGUUGCGGAGUAGCCACUUGAGGGUCACUAACCACCACCAAAGUUUCACAUAUCAUUACAAAGCCCUCUUAGUAUAGUAUCCAUAUAGUUCAAAUCCUUGAGUUGUGUAGAAUAAAGGGUUUUUCUUUUUUUCAAUGUUGCUCUAAUUGGUUAAAUAAGUGACUUGUAACAUGGGUUCGAUCGAAAACAUAGGGAUUUGAUGAGUCAUUCUCAGGGAUUCAGCAAAGGUCAAAAACUACAGGAUUUGUGAUGACUCGCUCCAUUUGAGCAAUGAAGAUGGGUUCAGGGAAUAUUAAUAUGAAACUGGUGGGGUUCACUACCUCCAACAAGAUUAAGAACAAGUGGGUUAAAUGGAGUGGCACUGAUUAAGUAUAAGAAUCACCUGGGUGCGAACGUACACCCAUCCAAUUCAAGAGAAGAACUUCUGGCGAGCGCAUUGU
rnacentral:lncRNA from 1 species